rnacentral:rRNA from 1 species
ACGAACGCUGGCGGCGUGCUUAACACAUGCAAGUCGAACGGAAGGGCCCUGCUUUUGUGGGGUGCUCGAGUGGCGAACGGGUGAGUAACACGUGAGUAACCUGCCCUUGACUUUGGGAUAACUUCAGGAAACUGGGGCUAAUACCGGAUAGGAGCUCCUGCUGCAUGGUGGGGGUUGGAAAGUUUCGGCGGUUGGGGAUGGACUCGCGGCUUAUCAGCUUGUUGGUGGGGUAGUGGCUUACCAAGGCUUUGACGGGUAGCCGGCCUGAGAGGGUGACCGGCCACAUUGGGACUGAGAUACGGCCCAGACUCCUACGGGAGGCAGCAGUGGGGAAUAUUGCACAAUGGGCGGAAGCCUGAUGCAGCAACGCCGCGUGCGGGAUGACGGCCUUCGGGUUGUAAACCGCUUUCGCCUGUGACGAAGCGUGAGUGACGGUAAUGGGUAAAGAAGCACCGGCUAACUACGU